rnacentral:rRNA from 1 species
GAUGAACGCUGGCGGCAGGCCUAACACAUGCAAGUCGAGCGGGACCUUCGGGUCUAGCGGCGGACGGGUUAGUAACGCGUGGGAACGUGCCCAAAGGUACGGAAUAGCCUCGGGAAACUGAGAGUAAUACCGUAUGUGCCCCUCGGGGGAAAGAUUUAUCGCCUUUGGAUCGGCCCGCGUUGGAUUAGGUAGUUGGUGGGGUAAUGGCCUACCAAGCCGACGAUCCAUAGCUGGUUUGAGAGGAUGAUCAGCAACACUGGGACUGAGACACGGCCCAGACUCCUACGGGAGGCAGCAGUGGGGAAUCUUAGACAAUGGGGGAAACCCUGAUCUAGCCAUGCCGCGUGAGCGAUGAAGGCCUUAGGGUUGUAAAGCUCUUUCAGAUGGGAAGAUAAUGACGGUACCAUCAGAAGAAGCCCCGGCUAACUCCGUG